GUCAGUGUGGUGCAGAGGUUUGAGCACUGGACUACAACUACAGAGACCAGGGUUCAAAUCCCAGCUCAGCCA